rnacentral:rRNA from 1 species
CAAAGUUGGAAUCCGGCUGCCCUAGGUAGUUGGAGUUGUAAACUGGAGAGGUGUUUUCCAGGCGAGCCAAGCAAAUAAGUCCUUUGGAACGGGGCAUCAUAGAGGGUGAGAAUCCCGUCUUUGGCUUGAGCUAUUCGCCUUUUGCGAUACACUUUCAAAGAGUCAGGUUGUUUGGGAAUGCAGCCUAAAUUGGGUGGUAAAUCUCACCUAAAGCUAAAUAUUGGCGAGAGACCGAUAGCGAACAAGUACCGUGAGGGAAAGAUGAAAAGAACUUUGAAAAGAGAGUUAAACAGUAUGUGAAAUUGUUGAAAGGGAACCGUUUGGAGCCAGACCGGCCGUUCUAUAAUCAAUCUCUGCUUCGGUGGGGAUGCACUUGUAGGACGUUGGCCUGCCAACAGCAAUUUUGUCUGGUGGAAAAAACCAGGAGGAAUGUGGCCCUUCGGGGUGUUAUAGCCUCUUGGAAAAUACACUGGAUGGGAUUGAGGACUGCAGCAAAUGCUCUCGGGCGAAAUACCUGGGCGCUUGCGUUGAGGACGUGUAGAAUCUCUGCUUCGGGUGGUGCUACGCUCUAAUGUGCAACUCGCCUAGAUUAUUUUCUAUUUGCUUAGGUUGUUGGCUUAAUGACUCUAAAUGACCCGUCUUGAAACACGGACCAAGGAGUCCAUCAUAGGUGCAAGUCUUUGGGUGACAAACCCGCGGGCGCAAGGAAACUGAAGGUGUACCAAGGUUCUUACGAACUGGCAGUACCGUCCGGCAAAGACGUUUUUAACUGACUUGACCGCGAUAAAGCACUUAUGCUGGGACCCGAAAGAUGGUGAACUAUGCCUGAAUAGGGUG